rnacentral:rRNA from 1 species
UGGGGAAUAUUGGUCAAUGGGCGCAAGCCUGAACCAGCCAUCCCGCGUGAAGGAUGAAGGCCCUAUGGGUCGUAAACUUCUUUUAUACACCAAGAAAAAGCAGGACGUGUCCUGCCCCGACGGUAGUGUAUGAAUAAGCAUCGGCUAACUCCGUGCCAGCAGCCGCGGUAAUACGGAGGAUGCGAGCGUUAUCCGGAUUCAUUGGGUUUAAAGGGUGCGUAGGCGGCUUUUUAAGUCAGUGGUGAAAUCUUGCCGCUUAACGGUAAAAUUGCCAUUGAUACUGAUAAGCUUGAGUACAAUUGAGGUAAGCGGAAUGUGUAGUGUAGCGGUGAAAUGCUUAGAUAUUACACAGAACACCGAUGGCGAAGGCAGCCCCCUGGGCCAAUACUGACGCUCAUGCACGAAAGCGUGGGGAGCGAACA